UUUGAUCAUGGCUCAGAUUGAACGCUGGCGGCAGGCUUAACACAUGCAAGUCGAGCGGGCGAGGUUGCUUCGGUAACUGAGCUAGCGGCGGACGGGUGAGUAAUGCUUAGGAAUCUGCCUAUUAGUGGGGGACAACAUUCCGAAAGGAAUGCUAAUACCGCAUACGCCCUACGGGGGAAAGCAGGGGAUCUUCGGACCUUGCGCUAAUAGAUGAGCCUAAGUCAGAUUAGCUAGUUGGUGGGGUAAAGGCCUACCAAGGCGACGAUCUGUAGCGGGUCUGAGAGGAUGAUCCGCCACACUGGGACUGAGACACGGCCCAGACUCCUACGGGAGGCAGCAGUGGGGAAUAUUGGACAAUGGGGGGAACCCUGAUCCA
rnacentral:rRNA from 1 species